CCUAGGUCCGUGUAUCAACAUUACGGCCAGAAGAGGACGCAACAUUCGUGACCUAUUAGUACCAAGCCAUUUAUCCACUAAACCGCAGCGAAGGGAUACAUGGUUGGGUAACCCUCCAUGUGGGUCCUAUGGCUGCGGUAGAUGUGUAGCUUGCAAAUUUAUUUUGAAGGAAUCUAAGGUAGUCUAUGAUAGUACUGGCCAAGUCUCUAUUAAGAUUAAAAACUUUUUUAAUUGUAGCACGAAGGGUCUGGUGUAUCUCUUGUCUUGUUCAUGUG